UGCUAACCUUACUGAAAGCUUUUGUCAAUUUCAAGUGCUAAUCUGAAGUUUCUGAUAGGCAUGUGCUAAAAGGAUCCAAGGUGAUGAAAGUGGGCACAAGCACUGUACUGGACAAUACUUUGAUUAUUGGCAGUGCGUUGACAAAUGUGUUGCAACUAAGCUAUUUACAUAUCUUAAAUGACCGGGCAAGACCUCAAUGUUGUUCUGGCACCAGAAUACGUUUAGUCCAAAACCAAUUGGUUCAGUAUUAUUCUGUUUUUGUGAAAACUAUUUAUGCUUGUAUGCCUACUUAGAUAAAUGGCAUGUUGAACUAUGAAUUAUGAGCACUUCAUUGUGAUCAAUAAAAAAAAAAUUGUGGGAUUGAAUUUCAUUUGCUUUGGCAAUUAAUGAUGUAGCUUUUGUUCAACAAUUUCCUAUUUAGUGAUUUGGAAAAUUUUCGUUGUUA